rnacentral:misc_RNA from 1 species
GAUGAAGAACGCAGCGAAAUGCGAUAAGUAGUGUGAAUUGCAGACUUUAGUGAAUCAUCGAAUCUUUGAACGCACAUUGCGCCCGUCAGUAUUCUGGCGGGCAUGCCUGUUCGAGCGUCAUUACGCCCCUCAAGUCCCCUGUGGACUUGGUGUUGGGGAUCGGCGAGGCUGGUUUUCCAGCACAGCCGUCCCUUAAAUUAAUUGGCGGUCUCGCCGUGGCCCUCCUCUGCGCAGUAGUAAAACACUCGCAACAGGAGCCCGGCGCGGUCCACUGCCGUAAAACCCCCCAACUUUUUAUAGUUGACCUCGAAUCAGGUAGGACUACCCGCUGAACUUAAGCAUAUCAAUAAGCGGAGGA